rnacentral:rRNA from 1 species
AUUGAACGCUGGCGGCAGGCUUAACACAUGCAAGUCGAGCGGAGCGAGGGUGCUUGCACCUUAGCUUAGCGGCGGACGGGUGAGUAAUGCUUAGGAAUCUGCCUAUUAGUGGGGGACAACAUUCCGAAAGGGAUGCUAAUACCGCAUACGCCCUACGGGGGAAAGCAGGGGAUCUUCGGACCUUGCGCUAAUAGAUGAGCCUAAGUCGGAUUAGCUAGUUGGUGGGGUAAAGGCCUACCAAGGCGACGAUCUGUAGCGGGUCUGAGAGGAUGAGCCGCCACACUGGGACUGAGACACGGCCCAGACUCCUACGGGAGGCAGCAGUGGGGAAUAUUGAACAAUGGGGGAACCCUGAUCCAGCCAUGCCGCGUGUGUGAAGAAGGCCUUUUGGUUGUAAAGCACUUUAAGCGAGGAGGAGGCGCUCUAGGCUAAUACCCUAGAUGCGUGGACGUUACUCGCAGAGUAAGCACCGGCUAACUCUGUGCCAGCAGCCGCCGUAACAC